GGGGAAUGUUGCAACAUCAGAGUGACGUCUCCAUCACUGAAUUUACACAUUCACUGCAGCGAAAGCUGACGAAUCAUCGCUCUCAUCCUGCGUCGCCCUUCAUCACGCCGGAAUCGAUGGCGGAAACUUACCCAGGGACGUCAGCGAACAGCAAGGUCAAUAACAACAAUUAAGGCCCCCCAUGUAGACGAGUACAGAGGUGGAGGGUAACUAUUUCUGUUGUUUAACAUCUGUAUAGACUGAAACGAAGCACUUUGUGGAUGAGUUCAACACGAUGUGCUCCGUAGAGUCACUGCACCAGCCUGAAGAAUGAUUCAAAGCUCCACUCUGAUGUAAAACCUUUAAUGUAAAGACAACGUUCUCACCACCAUCUUGCUUCUUUACAUUCCCCCAGACAGAGCGUUCAUCAUUCAUCAUCCCGGGGCUUUAUUUAACUUGUUGAAAACCAUUUUAUUUGUGUUUUUGCAAUGGUUUUCACGUUCUGACGCGAUAUUCUUAUCUACUUCAGUUGUUAAGUAGAAUACUGGAAUGCUCUUUUGCUGUGAAGUGUUUUUUGGAUCCACAAACUUCCCCUAGUUUUCCAUCUACAUGUAGGUGAGUAGAUAAUGACUGAAUGUGAACUGUUCCUUUAAAAGCUAAAGGAUGACAGAAAUAUUAACUCCCAUGUUGUGACGUUCAGCUGUUGAUCAGAUUAACACACAGGACGUUAAAUUAAAUCAAACUCAGAGGCUGUAAGGAGAGACGCGAGAUCACGUUUGACAUUUUGGUCCCUUUAUUUCAUGUUAACCACAUUUCAAACAACUAAACAACCAAUGGUAAUGGCAUCACCAGAUCUAAACAACACUUUGCUAGACAAAUAAUCAUCAGAAUAAUAAUUAUACAAAAGAAAUGUACAAAUUCAAGACAAAAAAAGAAAACAAAACAAAUUAAAAAAAAAUUGAAAACAAAUAAAAUAUAUAAUACAGAUGAGCGGCCAUGAACCAAGCCAAUAAAAUAAAGCCUUAGUGGAAAAAAAACCCCAAAACAAAACAAAGAAAAAACAUUUCUGGCAUUCACAUCGUCUUCAAUACAACACUCUGACUGUCUUUGUCUUUAUAGGUCCAUUAACGAGCCUGACUGGACUCCAGCAAACAAAUAAAACGUAAGCGCAGACUGAACAGUUUGCCACAACAUUUUGCCACAAAGUAUGUCGGUUCUGGCCAAGAAGAGCAUCGACACUUUACAAACCAAACAAAUGUAACCAGAGAUGAGCUUCACCUGAGUGAAGUGUCAUUCCAAACUGAGCCAUCAGCUGUCUCCUAACGCUGACAUCUAUCGGUAUGAGCUGCUGACGUAAAAUAAAUGAAAUGAUGGGUUAGAAUCAGUUUUGAUUUGAUUAGAAAAGUGCUUCCGUCUUUAGUUUGAGUGACUCGUCCGCCAUGUUUGAAAAUGAAGCCCUUAAUUUGGUGUCUUCUUUACCUCAGACGACGCUGCGACUGUUCUUUAGUCCCCAGUAAAGACCAACGAAUCCCUAAAAAUCCUCACAGUCCUUUUGACUUGACACAGUUCAGAGGAUGCCGAAAUAAGAGCCUUUAAUAUCAGCUUGUUGUUUCGUCUUCCUCGCGUCUUUUAAGGGCAAUAUGAAAGUUUAAAGUCCGAUCAAAUGAGGAGACAAAGGGGAGCUGAAGUCAGCGGUUUAAUUCUCAUUAAGUCCUUCUCUUUGAGCUGCAGUGGCAUCUGAACUGUCAGCCAUGUUGACCUUCAUUCACCCCGGGGUCGAUCAUUAACUCACAUCAUUUCCUAUCACACCGGGCUGGAGAUUAAUUUCUAAACCUCGGUAGGUAUAGUGAAAAGCAAAUUUGAGGCUUUGUUUGCAGAGGGAGAGUAAAUGUGACCCGUCGCUUUGUCUUUGUGUUGUCAUCUUGAUGACAGCCAGCCGGCCCGGGGAGCACUCCUUCACUGAAAUGUACCCAGAAUAUAAAACAUCGUGUGGCUUAUAGUUCUGAUCCAAACCUUAUUAAUUAACAUGUUUUGAUCACCAUGGGUAGAGUUACUCUCAGUCAUCCGAAACUUGUGAAAUAUUAUUUCAGAGAUAACUCUUAACGGAAAAAAAUGUGUGAUCGUCUCCUGCGUGUUGCUUCGUGUGUUUGAAUGUUUGCUCUUCGUCCUUUCAACUAUUUCAAGUCAAACCAAGUAUUCAGAACCACGUAAACAAAUGGAUGAAAAAGUUGAAUAAAUGACUCGCUGUUGAGUUUUUCUAGAGCCCGACUGAUACUGGAGUUCUGAAGCUGGCGCUGGUACCAAUUUAAGAGAGCAAAUAUAUUCUGAUAUUGAUAUAACGCUUGUGACUCGGGCUGCAGCUAAAGAUUAUUUUCACUAUCGAUCAAUCUGCUGAAUGUUUUUUCUGCACUCAAGACAUCACAUAUGCCGAUACUGAUUUAUCUUGGAUAGGUGCUGAUACGAUCAGUCGGGCUCUAGUUCUUUCAUCUGGACCGCAGGGCGACCUGGUCGUUGGUGAUGUACUCAGAAUCAAGAGUUAAAUCCGAACAUCUCUCUAAAAGUCUCCUUCAAGAAAAACAAAUGUAAUUUCAAUCUUCUUCCUCACCGUAAGUCACUCUGAAUGUGGGCGUCAGCUUAACGUGCAAUAUGCAAAAAUAUAUUUCUUAAUUCUUUUGACGGCGUGUCUGAAUGGAGCGUUUGUAGGAAGGUAACAUAAGACUUUGUUUCAAACUAAAACUCACGGCUGAGAAUGACAGCGGCUGCUGUGUGGAGCGAUAGUGUGUUCUGAAAUGAG
rnacentral:lncRNA from 1 species